GAUGAACGCUGGCGGCGUGCUUAACACAUGCAAGUCGAACGGUGAAGCCCAGCUUGCUGGGUGGACCAGUGGCGAACGGGUGAGUAACACGUGAGCAACCUGCCCUGGACUCUGGGAUAAGCGCUGGAAACGGUGUCUAAUACUGGAUAUGAGCCUUUACCGCAUGGUGGGGGUUGGAAAGAUUUUUCGGUCUGGGAUGGGCUCGCGGCCUAUCAGCUUGUUGGUGAGGUAAUGGCUCACCAAGGCGUCGACGGGUAGCCGGCCUGAGAGGGUGACCGGCCACACUGGGACUGAGACACGGCCCAGACUCCUACGGGAGGCAGCAGUGGGGAAUAUUGCACAAUGGGCGGAAGCCUGAUGCAGCAACGCCGCGUGAGGGAUGACGGCCUUCGGGUUGUAAACCUCUUUUAGCAAGGAAGAAGCGAAAGUGACGGUACUUGCAGAAAAAGCGCCGGCUAACUACGUGCCAGCAGCCGCGGUAAGAC
rnacentral:rRNA from 1 species